rnacentral:rRNA from 1 species
AGAGUUUGAUCAUGGCUCAGAACGUACGCUGGCGGCACGCCUAACACAUGCAAGUCGAACGAAGUAGCAAUACUUAGUGGCAGACGGGUGAGUAACAUGUAGGUAUCUGCCCUUUGGCCCGGAAUAACACGAGGAAACUUGUGCUAAUACCGGAUAAGUCUUUACGGAGAAAGCUUUAUGCACCAUUGGAUGAGCCUGCACUUGAUUAGUUUGUUGGUGGGGUAAUGGCCUACCAAGACUGUGAUCAAUAGCUAAUUUGAGAGGAUGAUCAGCCACAUUGGGACUGAGACACGGCCCAAACUCCUACGGGAGGCAGCAGUGGGGAAUCUUGCACAAUGGAGGAAACUCUGAUGCAGCGAUGCCGCGUGAGUGAAGAAGGCCUUUGGGUUGUAAAGCUCUUUCGUCGGGGAAGAAAAUGACUGUACCCGAAUAAGAAGGUCCGGCUAACUUCGUGCCAGCAGCCGCGGUAAUACGAAGGGACCUAGCGUAGUUCGGAAUUACUGGGCUUAAAGAGUUCGUAGGUGGUUGAAAAAGUUGGUGGUGAAAUCCCAGAGCUUAACUCUGGAACUGCCAUCAAAACUUUUCAGCUAGAGUAUGAUAGAGGAAAGCAGAAUUUCUAGUGUAGAGGUGAAAUUCGUAGAUAUUAGAAAGAAUACCAAUUGCGAAGGCAGCUUUCUGGAUCAUUACUGACACUGAGGAACGAAAGCAUGGGUAGCGAAGAGGAUUAGAUACCCUCGUAGUCCAUGCCGUAAACGAUGUGUGUUAGACGUUGGAAAUUUAUUUUCAGUGUCGCAGCGAAAGCGAUAAACACACCGCCUGGGGAGUACGACCGCAAGGUUAAAACUCAAAUGAAUUGACGGGGACCCGCACAAGUAGUGGAGCAUGUGGU